GACGAAGGGGGCUAGCGUUGUUCGGAAUUAUUGGGCGUAAAGCGCGUGUAGGCGGCUUUGCAAGUCGGGUGUGAAAGCCCUCAGCUCAACUGAGGAAGUGCGCCCGAAACUGCAGAGCUUGAGUACCGGAGAGGAUGGCGGAAUUCCCCAAGUAGAGGUGAAAUUCGUAGAUAUGGGGAGGAACACCGGUGGCGAAGGCGGCCAUCUGGACGGAUACUGACGCUGAGACGCGAAAGCGUGGGGAGCAAACAGG
rnacentral:rRNA from 1 species